GCCAAAGUGGCGGAACUGGUAGACGCGCUGGACUCAAAAUCCAGUGAGUGAAUAACUCGUGUGGGUUCGAGUCCCACCUUUGGUACAA
rnacentral:tRNA from 1 species